AUUGAACGCUGGCGGCAGGCCUAACACAUGCAAGUCGAACGAGCGGCGGACGGGUGAGUAAUGUCUGGGAAUCUGCCCGAUGGAGGGGGAUAACUACUGGAAACGGUAGCUAAUACCGCAUACUAUCGGAUGUGCCCAGAUGGGAUUAGCUAGUAGGUGGGGUAACGGCUCACCUAGGCGACGAUCACUAGCUGGUCUGAGAGGAUGAUCAGCCACACGGGAACUGAGACACGGUCCAGACUCCUACGGGAGGCAGCAGUGGGGAAGAUUGCACAAUGGGAGCAAGCCUGAUGCAGCCAUGCCGCGUGUAUGAAGAAGGCCUUCGGGUUGUAAAGUACUUUCAGCGAGGAGGCGUUACUCGCAGAAGAAGCACCGGCUAACUCCGUGCCAGCAGCCGCGGUAAUAC
rnacentral:rRNA from 1 species